GACAGAGGGUGCAAACGUUGUUCGGAAUUACUGGGCGUAAAGCGCGUGUAGGCUGUUUUGCAAGUCGGAUGUGAAAGCCCUGGGCUCAACCUAGGAAGUGCACUCGAAACUGCAGAACUCGAGUCCUGGAGAGGAAGGCGGAAUUCUCGGUGUAGAGGUGAAAUUCGUAGAUAUCGAGAGGAACACCGGUGGCGAAGGCGGCCUUCUGGACAGUGACUGACGCUGAGACGCGAAAGCGUGGGGAGCAAACAGG
rnacentral:rRNA from 1 species